rnacentral:tRNA from 1 species
CGGGAUGUAGCCCCGCCAACGGCGGGGCACUACGUUCGGGACGUAGGGGUCGCUGGUUCGAAUCCAGUCAUCCCGA